GAGCAUGGUGGUAACACUGACGUUGAUGUCUCUUAUCAAUACUUGACCUUUUUCAUGGAGGAUGAUGAACGUCUGGCAGAGAUAAAGAAGAAUUAUGAGAGUGGAAAACUGCUUACUGGACAACUCAAGAAAGAGCUUAUUGGUGUGCUUCAAAAGCUUGUUGGUGAUCAUCAGGCAAGACGUGCUGAGGUGACUAUGGAUGUUGUGAAGCAGUUCAUGACUCCUCGUCCUCUGAAUUUUAAGCUGUCCGCUUAAGGAUCAAGAAUAAUUUUUUGCUGCCUUUAUUUGACUAUAGUGUUAAUUAUUUUUGCUAUUAGUUUUACUAUUAUAGCUAGAUCUAGAUCUAUUACUUUGAAUUUUUUGAUUUGAAUAAUCUAGUGCAACUUUAUAA